UGUGUUCUUGUGCUGUGAUUUCUUUUUCGUUCUUCGUUCAUGUUUGUCGGGUUCAUAUCAAGAAAUGUUAUAAUUUAUUUUGGCUAUGUACUUUUUAUCGAUGCACGAAAGACAAAGACUUGGCACGGAUUUAAACAUGUCAUUUCAACCUUAGCGGAUUCAAGUGAUCGCAAGCAGCGGCCAGCGGCAUGUUGUAAGAGGCUUUUUUUUGUAUUUAUUUAUUUCAUCCAAGACCAUGU
rnacentral:lncRNA from 1 species